GACGAACGCUGGCGGCGUGCUUAACACAUGCAAGUCGAACGGAUCACGGGGAUCUCGGUUUGUGGGGUGAGUGGCGAACGGGUGAGUAACACGUGAGUAACCUGCCGCGAACGUUGGGAUAACGACUCUAAAGGGUUGCUAAUACCGGGUAUUGAACUUCACGCGCGGGGGGUUUGUUUGAAAGAUUUUUUGGUUGGGGAGGGGCUCGCGGCCUAUCAGCUUGUUGGUGGGGUGAUGGCCUACCAAGGCGUUGACGGGUAGCCGGCCUGAGAGGGCGACCGGCCACACUGGGACUGCGAUACGGCCCAGACUCCUACGGGAGGCAGCAGUGGGGAAUAUUGCACAAUGGGCGGAAGCCUGAUGCAGCAACGCCGCGUGCGGGAUGACGGCCUUCGGGUUGUAAGGCUCUGUCUUCAGGGACGAUAAUGACGGUACCUGAGGAGGAAGCCACGGCUAACUACGUGCCAGCCGCCGCGGUAAAAC
rnacentral:rRNA from 1 species